rnacentral:lncRNA from 1 species
AGCUUGGCACAUUUUGGUCAUUUGGUGUUUCAGUAUUCUAUUUUCCUCAACCACAGUAGACUCUUGUUGAACCCUCUGACCCUUAGUCUCUUGAGCACUUGUAACAGCUUCGAUGUUAGUUGUCAUUUUUCCUUGGAUUUUGUGUUGUCCGCUUACCCCAAACCGACCACCUCAACUUUCCUCACAAUUCAAAAUAAGACAUGUUAGAAUGGACUCAGUUAGUCCUUAUUAUUAACAACAUUUUUUUUCACUUUUGUUUUUCUUCUUUUUUUUUCAUUUUUUUUUCAAUGAUUGAUCGAACCUGAUGUGGGUUGCCUACGUAUCAUGUGGAAACAUGAAUCAGAUCUUGCAUAGUUCGGGAAGAUUGGGAAUAAAGUAAAUAAACUAACUUUUUUUUAGAUUUUGAAUUUUUUAUUUUAUUUUUCAAAAGAAAGACUUAUAAAAAAGAAAGAGAAUAUUUUUGGAUUUUGAUUUUUCUUCAAAAUUUUUGCAAAGAAAGACUUCUAAAAAAAGAGAUAUUUUUUUUUGAAUAUCAACCUUUUUUUUGGAAUUUCGAAAGAAAAACUUCUAAAGAAGAAAGAAAAUAUUUUUGAAUUUUUGGACUUUUAUUUGGAAUUUAUGAAAGAAAUACUUUUAAAGAAAAAAAAAUUAUUUUUGAAUUUUGAAUUGUCUUUUCAAUUUUCGAAAGAAGAAUGAAAAUAUUUUUGGAUUUUGAGAGAGAAUAAAAGAAAAUAUUUUUGUAUUUUAAAAUAUUUGGGUCUAAAAAACAGACUUUCUAAAGAAGCAAGUAAUGAAAAAUACUUUUGGAUUUUUUUUUAAAUUGUGGGCCGGAACCGAUGAGAUUUGCCUACGUAUCUCACAUCCGAUGAGAAUCAGACCUGCUAGUUCGCCAUUUUGACGGAACGGAGGAAACAUGAAUUUUGAAAACAUAUGCUUAUUUCGGCAGAGUUUCGGAAUUUUCCAAAUAAUUACCUCUCACUCUUUUUUUCUUUUUUCCUUUUUUUGAUUUUCUUUCCCUAUUAUAGCAGCCAGUCAACAUGCAAGCAGAAAUAAACAGAUACGCAAGUAGCACGUAAGAUGCAUCUGUAUGGUCUUUUAAUUUGGAUACACCUGUCCUAGAUGAACUUAACCCCUGUGUUGAGCCCCCAAAAUCAAAUGCACAUGAUGCAAACAAAAUAUUCCUACUAGGGAUCCGGCAUGAGGCUAUGUUAUUUUAAGUUUAAAACCUAGGUGUAUUGUUCUAGACCUGGCUUACCCGAGCGGACAGCUCGAGCCGAGGGGGGGCAGCGUACCGGGAAUACAGAAGUUUCACCGGCUUUGCAACUUGUCCGAACCCCGUUCUAAAAUUGGGAUAUGACUCUAAUAGAAAAGAAGUCACACGAAGUGCACACUUCCCAGAUGAUUUAGAAGACUCAGAGAGAAGAGGGUUUCGUAACAAUUUAUAUAAGUUCAAAUAAUAUCAAAGAGGUAAAAGCGGCAUUUAGCACAGUAGGCUCAAUCAUGUAAAACUCAGAUAAUAGAUAAAGCCAAAUAUAACAGUUAUUCUAAGUUCGAAUUCUUGAACCAUGAACCAAAAGUUCUGGGUUAUAGAUCCCCAACAGAAUCGCCAGAGCUGUCACACCUCCUUUUUACACCCCGAGGGGUAUAUAGGAAUUUUUCCAAUUUAAGUGACAUUAUUCGAAAUGGAAUUAUUUAUUUAAUUCAGAGUCGCCACUUGGGAUAAUUUAUUUGGUGUCCCAAGCCACCGGAUUAUUAUAAAAUCCCAAGUCGAGGAAAUUUGACUUUAUUUAAAAGUUUGCGAACCAAAAAUUCUAGAUAAGGAAUUCUGUUAACCCGAAAGAAGGUGUUAGGCAUUCCCGGGUUCCGUGGUUUUAGCACGGUCGCUUAAACUAUUAAUAUUGGCCUAUUAUUUGAUUUACUACAUAUUUUAACCUAUUGUGCCUUUUAGCUUUUGAAACCGCUUUUAAUUAUUUAAAGAAUUGACUCAAGAUUAUUUAAAACAAGUCGCAAGCCACGCUACAUGAAAUGCACUCGUGGUUCACGACACGUUCUAUUUAACCUUGUUGGAAAUCAAGACCGGGUCACAUGAAAUGCACCCCCGAAUUUUGGGAAUUAUGUAUGUCACUGGAACCGUACCCAUAGUCACGAUGAUUUGAUUAAUUAAAAGCGAACCUAAAACAUUACAAAGCAUUCAUGAAUUAGGUCCAAAGGUAUGGAAUAUGUUAGUGGAAUAAACGAAACUAGUUAGCUAAGGAAAAGCUGAGUAGCUUGUGGCAUUAUUAACGCGUGGGUGUAAUAUUCAACCGUAUAUUAUUUUGCCCAAUUUAACUCCUUUGCCAACCGAGUUAAAAUAUACACCCAUUAUUCUCUUUCGCCCAAAUACUGCUUUGCUACUAUUUGAUACAAGUAACAGUAAGCCAAAGAAAUAUCAAUUAAUAAAGGCAUCAAACAUUUAGAAUCAUCAAUUUGCUCAGAAAACAUAAUUCAACGAAAUAAUAGCAGCAUUCAUAUAGUUAAAAGCAUGAAAUUAACCAAGGAGAAAAAAAAACGGUAAAGAAAGAAAGAUUGCACCUGAAGGAUCGAAGGCUUUUAUUUGUUUAAAGGAAACCUCCAUCCAUGUACACAAUAACUAUGAUGAAUUGGCAGGUGAACUCAAACAGCAUCUAUGACCACGCCGGAGAAACUCGACCGAAAACUGUUAGAGUCGCAAACAGAAGCUCGUCGGCUUGACUCGAAUCUAUGGUGGCGUUUUGGACGAUUUCGAAGCUGCUUUGGGGUGAUUUUCAGCUACAACUAACAACAUUUUUGGGAUGAAUAUGAUGAUGUUUGGACAAAUUUGAAGGCAGCCAUGGGACUGAUUUUUGGAGCUACUAUUACUGAUUUUUCAUGGUUAAACAGGAGGUUUAGAACUAGUUUAGGAAAAGUUUUGGGUGAAUUUUCAGGUGGAAAAGGGCUGUUGAAGGGUGGUUUUGGAGCUCAUUUUCGCUGGUUACAGGUGCUAGAUUUUUGCUGCUGUUUUGGUGUCCUUUUAGCUAGUUUUCAUGGGUAUUUUGGAGUAGUGUUUAUGGAUGAUGGGGGGCUGGUUUUCAUGGUUGUUUGAUAGUGUUUUUGGCGAGAAAGAGGAGGGGUUUUGGUCAGCGAUUUUGAGGAAAAAGAAACCAACGAGAGGUCCGCUCGGUUUUUGUUAAGGAGCAGCCAUGUUUAGGUUGUUCAAUCUUAGAAAAAAUGGAUGCUUCCUUGUUUGUUGGAGAAGACAAUCCAACGUUGGGUUUUGAAGAGGAGGGGUGUUUUUUUUUUACUGAUUUUUUAUGGGUUUUUUUUUUGGAGAAGAUGAAGGGAAUGGAAAGGCUCAGCUGCUACUAAGAUACCCUCUAAGCUCUCCAAAAUGAAGAAGAUGAGUGUCUGUGUUUUCUAAAAUUUUGCCCAGCCCCUCUCGUUCCCAGAUCUGUCCGUCCCCUCCCCAGAUUUUUUUUUGGCAUUUUUUCC